rnacentral:lncRNA from 1 species
AUCGAAGGGCGCUAUGUUCAAAAAUCUGAAACUAGAGCUCAAAAUUUAAAAAAAAGGCAAAAAAUUAGGGGGGUCAUCCAGUAGCGGCAUAACACAAAAAAACUCAUCAUAAAUACCAGACGCGCGUUUCAUCUACAAAGACUCAUUAGUGACGCUCGAAUCAAAAUAAUGAUUGAAAGGCCAAAAUAAAGGACGAAGUUGAAGAACAUUGAGAACAUAACAUUCCUAGUAGUUUUGCAAAAUACAGGUAAGGCAGUCUAUUCCUGGUGUAGAAAA